rnacentral:lncRNA from 1 species
CAAAGCCAUAAAAACAAAGAAAAAGAAUGUUCUUGUUUUUUUUUUGUUUUCUCCCACACGAAGCAAAACCAACAAAUUGAAUAAAAAUACCUGAAAACUUUAAACUUGAACACUUUAUCACUUAGACUUUGAUUUCUUCUUUGGGUUCUUCAGUUGUGAUAGUCUUAGAGCUUGGAGAUCUUCCAAUGAUUGCUUUCUUUGCCUUAACAAGAGAUUGUUUCACCUUUGAUAUAAUGCUGUUUGAAUGUUUUUGCUUAGCAGGAGCUUCUUUGGUUGUGACUUCUGGUUGUUGUUUCGCCUCAUCGAUCUCUUUAGCAACAGGUGCUGUUUCUACAACUUCUGCUACUUUUUCUGUAAUUGGUUCCUCUUGUUUGUUUGCUGCAGCUUCUUUCUCUACUGAUUCUGUAUCAGUUUCUUUCAAAGUCUCUUCGCUCUUUCCUUCCGCAACAGGUGUGUCAGUAUCUUUCUUGAUGUUCUCAUCUUCUGCUGCUAGUUUAGUAACGACAUCUUUGGCUUCACUUACGUUCUCUUGUUCAUCCUUUAAUGGUUCUUCGACUACAUGCUUCUCGUCAGUAAUGGCCUUCUCAAUGACAUCAGCUGGAGAAGGAACGUCUCCUUCAGUCUCCUUUUUGGGUUCUGUGUCUGAGUCUUGGUUUGUGGGUACGACUUUCUCAGGGGACAAUGCAGAACCAGAUUCAGAAGUUUUCUCAUCCUUUGAUGGUUCUUCGACUACAUGCUUCUCUUCAGUAAUGGCCUUCUCAAUGAUAUCAGCAGGAGAAGAAACGUCUUCCUCAGUUUCCUUUUUGGGUUCUGUGUCUAAAUCUUGGUUUGUGGGUACGGCUUUCUCAGGGCACAGAGCAGAACCAGAUUCAGAAGUUGUUUCAUCCUUUGAUGGUUCAUCCACUACAUACUUCUCUUCAGUAAUAGCCUUCUCAAUGACAUCAGCAGGAGCAGCAGCGUCUCCUUCAGUUUCCUCUUUGGGUUUUGUGUCUGAAUCUUGGUUUAUUGGUACAACUUUCUCAGGGGACAAAGCAGCACUUGAUUCAGAAGGUUUUUCCUCAUUUGCUGGUUCAUCCACUACAUGCUUCUCUUCUGUAAUGGCCUUCUCAAUGACGUCAAUAGGAUAAGAAGCGUCUCCUUCAGUCUCCUUUAUGGGGUCAGUGUUUGAUUCUUGGAUUGUCGAUAAAAUUUCCUCAGAGCACAAAGCAGAACCAGAUUCAGAAGUCUUUUCAUCUUUGGAGUUGAUUUCAGAGUCUUUUUCCUCAACAAUUACAUCCUCCAGCUUUCCCUCAAGCUCAACUUUAGCUUGUUCUGUUGCUUCAGCUGUUUCCUCUGCCUUUACUACCUCAACUUCUGUUUCCAAUUCCCUUGCUUUCUCAAGCUGAGUCUCAACCUUUUCAGACGUCUCUGGCUUUGGCUCGACUUCAAGAGCCUCCACAUCUUUGACUUUCUCCUCUGCAAUCUCUGCAGAUACAUCUCUAACGGAUUGAACAUCAACUGAUUCCACCUGUUUGUCUCCAGCUGAUUCAGAGACAUCAACAAUCUUCGUCUCCUCCUGAUCCUUAUGGUCUUCUAUUAGAACGUUCUCCACGGUUUGCUUCUCUUCUGCUUUUUCGGUAUCAACAGUUUCAACAUUAACUUCUGCAACAGUCUCUUUAACAAGGAUUGGCUCUUUAAGUUCCACUUGUUCAGCUCCCUUCUCACCGUUCUCAUGCUUCACUGUCUCUGUAGAUUCCUCUGCUUUCACAACAGCUCCAACCUCUUCCACCACUGCUGGUGAUUCUUUCUCUGGUUCACCAGCAGGAGUUUGAUCAAUCUCCUCUUCUUUGGUGACCACCGGGUUUGAAUCUGAUGCCGGUUUAUCAUUCACCACAUCUGCAGAAUCCGACGAAAUAAUCUCUUUCUCCAUCAACUUAGCUUCCUCGCUCACCUUAUUCUCCAAUGGCUGCAUCAGGUAAAAGUAAACCUCUCUUAUAAUUCACAACAAGAAACCUUAGAAAGGUAUUGCUUCGUUUAUUUCUCUAACUAGAAUCAUACUUUGGAACGUAAGAAGAGUUUUCUAGAAAAAGAUGGACAAAGUUGGUUCUUUAACAUCCAUGUGCAUAAUCUACAACUUUCUGAAAAGUUCCAACUUUUUUUUCCUUCUAAUAAUUGCUGCAGUAAAACAAUGGAAGAAUACACAUACAAGUAUAUUGGACUCUGUCUCAGUGAAAGCAUAUGGAUCUUACAAGUAUCAAAACGUGAUGAAGAAACCUAUCUAUCAACCUCAAAAGCAUCACGCAUAGAGGUACAUAUACAUAAAUACAUACAUGAGCACGAGCUUAGAAAAUAAGAGUCAAGAACAGAGGGAUAGUUUUCAAAAUAGCUUACCUUUUCAGGUGUAGUAACAGUUGG